rnacentral:rRNA from 1 species
UUCCAGACUCCUACGGGAGGCAGCAGUGGGGGAUAUUGCACAAUGGGGGGAACCCUGAUGCAGCGACGCCGCGUGGGUGAAGAAGCGCCUCGGCGCGUAAAGCCCUGUCAGCAGGGAAGAAAAUGACGGUACCUGAAGAAGAAGCCCCGGCUAACUACGUGCCAGCAGCCGCGGUAAUACGUAGGGGGCAAGCGUUAUCCGGAUUUACUGGGUGUAAAGGGGGCGCAGACGGCGAUGCAAGCCAGGAGUGAAAGCCCGGGGCCCAACCCCGGGACUGCAUUUGGAACUGUGCUGCUAGAGUGUCGGAGAGGCAGGCGGAAUUCCUAGUGUAGCGGUGAAAUGCGUGGAUAUUAGGAGGAACACCAGUGGCGAAGGCGGCCUGCUGGACGAUGACUGACGUUGAGGCUCGAAAGCGUGGGGAGCAAACAGGAUUAGAUACCCCUGUA